AAGAAAGAAAGAAAGAAAGAAAGAAAGAAAGAAAGAAAGAAAGAAAGAAAGAAAGAAAGAAAGAAAGAAAGAAAGAAAAGGAACUUUUCAUGAUCUGUGGAGAGCAGAGGAAGAAGUUUCCAGAAAGAGCUGCAGAGAAAUUCUGGAGGAUUUGGACUACCAGCCAGAAGAAUUUAGAUGGGUAGAGGGAAAAUUGUUUCCUAUCUCACAACGGGAAAGAAGCUGUUAAAUUGAAGAUCUCAUCGGACACUGAUAAACUUGGCAGGAGAAGUCUCCAUAAGAGAGAGGACGGUAGCUGGAGGCGGCGGGCUGGAGCCUUUUCAGUAACAUUCAGGAACUACCUCUCCCAGAUUCACCGAGAGCUUGCUAGGGCCAAGCACCUUACGCGUCCUGGAGAUGGGAGGUGCGGUGCCUGGAGGAUACGGGAGCUGAUUGGAGAGGAGCUGGCAGGCAGCUGUGGUCCAUGUAACCCAGAAUUCUGUCUCAGGAUGGUAAACGGAGGCUGCGGUGGGAGUGUAUAUUGACAUCUAGCUAGGAAAGUAGGUUGUGGAACUUUCUGGGUGGGUGACAUCUGAGCUGCUGUCUGAGUGAUGAGAGUGGGGGUGGGGAGCGGUUUCCAGGAAGAAGCUACUGCCUGUGCAAAGGCUCAGGGGAAGAGAGACCACGUUGCAGGAGGAACUGAAAGUAGUUCAGUCUGGCUGCAACUUAGAAUGGGGUGCGGUGCUGGGGGGGGGUAACAGGGAGCCACUGAAGUCUUAGACAGAGGAAUCAUAUAUUCAGAUUUGCUUUCUUUUUUUAAUCCUCACCGGAGGAUAUGUUUUUAUUGAUUUUAGACAGAGAGGAAGGGAAAGAGAGAAAGAGAAACACUGAUGUGAGAUGGUUGCCUCCCCACCUGG